GAUAGGAAUAUCUUGUUGCAUAGAACCAAUAAUGGCUUCUAUGUUUGAUACAUUGCUCAAUAUAUUCUUAUUCUAUUCAUCUACGUAAGAUCUCAUUGAACUUAAACUGUUAUUCAUAUAAGAUUGCAUGUUGCCUAAAAUAUUAUUUUCUUAUCAUUUUUGCUGCUGUCGAAAUUCCUGUUGGAAUACUUAUUUGUGGCUGUCAAGAAUAGCAUCUAUAUAAGAAUGAAUACUAGAUUGCAUAUAAUCUUCUUGCCAUUUUUGAUGUUGUUCAAACUACUUGUUUUGACUGUGAAAUAUUUCUUCCUUCAGGUUAUGGCAUACACCAGACACAUUUGAUAUUACAUGUUGCCUAUGUAUUCCCAGCAUUUCUUCCAUUUGUUCUCGAGUUAUAUAGUUAGAAGCAUCAAAAGCAGAAGCAGAACCAACUCUAGGAGAAGUUCUCGAACUACUGGGAAUAGUCGUUUCUUGCACAAAGAUGUUUUCUGGGAUUUGUUGUACUGUGUUGUCUAAUUUCCCAUUGACAAUACCAUCUAAGAUACUAUGUUGAUUAUCCGCUGACAUUGAAAGAGUUGUAUAUCAUGACAAUUCUAACUAUUCUUCGACGGGAUAUAACACUGCAAGUACAUCAAUCUGUAAUCAUGAUAACUAAAUUUAGUUUUUAAAAUGAUGAAAUGAAAAUGAAAUUUUGCAUUCGUAAAAAAAGUAUGUUAUACCUCAGUGGCCAAAAAAGGUUUUACCAUUUUCUCAGUUAAUAUUGAAUUAGGUCUCCACUUAUAUAUUCGAGGACUUUGUGCUGUUUUAUAUCUCCUGCGUCCAAAUUUUUUUCCAAUCUCUGGAAAGACUUUAUAUAUCCAGAACUGCAAGUAAUUAUAAUCUUUUGUUAUACAAAUAAGUUAUACAUAAUAUAUAUAACAAUAAAAGAACAGAAAAAAUUUACCUGGAAUGCAAGUAGAUAUCCUCUUAAUGUAUAUUUGCAAUCUGUUUGAUUUUGUUAUGCUCUUUGCACUAUUUCAGCUUAUGAUUCUUGCAAAGAAUUUAACAAGACAAAAUAUGUUUUUUGACCCCAUGGAUAAGCAAUAAAGUCAUCGAGAUGCUCGACCAUACCAAGAGUCUUAUAAUCAAUAAUUCUGCCAGUUGGUUUCAAAACACAUUCCACAAACAUAACCAAUCCCAGCUUAAAUUUAUCUAUGUAGUCUUCGCAUGAAUGGAACGCUUGAUGCAAUAUUCUCAUAUUAACUCUUCUUGUUCCAUUGAAAUAUUGAUUUAUAAGACGAUAGUUAUUAUGAUUAAUCUCCACAGAUGGUUCAUAGCAUGGUAAUCCAAUGAUGAUACAAUAUUUUUGCAUGCUAAACCUAGCAAUACGAUAACCUAACCGUACUCACACUUCGUUAUUUUUACCACAAUGUACAAGUCUCAUUACGAAUUCAUGUAUCAACCUACUACUAAAUUGUUCAUCUUCUUCCGUAUAAAUAACUCUCGCAAAAAAUCCAUAGAAAUCGCUACACAUAGCAGAAGCCUGUGGAUUUACAUCUAUAAAUUCAAUAAAAUCUUGGAGAUAUUUCCGAUUUGUAUAUUGACAGAUAGUGGCAGAGAACCAUUGAUUUGGAGAGACAAUAUAUUCUAGAGACGUCUACAUAAUAAACGAAAUAGACAAAUUUGUAUUUAUAAGAAUUCCAUAAAUUCUAACUCUAUAUCUAUAUCUCACAAUGGCAACAAUACAGGUGCUAUUAUUUAUGUUUUAGAUGAUUAUGACAAAAGAAUACUAAAAUUCAAAGACUUUAUACAUACUAUGAAUAACUAAGGCUAUAAUUUUUUCUUCAUCUUAUCUUUCUUUUUUUUUGUUUGUUGGAGAUUUUAUUUUAAAAGCAGUUAUAGUUUUUACUUGUCUUUGCAUUAUUAGUUCUGCAGUAAACAUUUUAGUAUAAAAUCGAAAUUAUUUUUAAGAAAAUAUGAAUAUAUUGUAUACAUACAUAGAUUAAGGAAGCAAGAUGGGUCUCUUUGUUCAUACAGAGGUUGUCUAUUCAUGCACUAUCGGUGCCCAACAAUAUUUUCUUGUUCAUUUCAACAAUAAAUCUUACCUUUUAUCCAGCUAAAUGUUUGCACCUUGGCGCUUCUCUCUACUUUGAAGACUCUUGC
rnacentral:lncRNA from 1 species